rnacentral:rRNA from 1 species
CUUUUACAAUGAAGAGUUUGAUCCUGGCUCAGGAUGAACGCUAGCUACAGGCUUAACACAUGCAAGUCGAGGGGCAGCAUUUUAGUUUGCUUGCAAACUAAAGAUGGCGACCGGCGCACGGGUGAGUAACACGUAUCCAACCUACCGAUAACUCUGGAAUAGCCUUUCGAAAGAAAGAUUAAUACCGGAUAGUAUACGAAUAUCGCAUGAUAUUUUUAUUAAAGAAUUUCGGUUAUCGAUGGGGAUGCGUUCCAUUAGUUUGUUGGCGGGGUAA